rnacentral:rRNA from 1 species
AAUAUUGCACAAUGGAGGAAACUCUGAUGCAGCGACGCCGCGUGGGUGAUGAAGGCUUUCGAGUCGUAAAACUCUGUCCUAGGGGACGAUAAUGACGGUACCCUAGGAGGAAGCCCCGGCUAACUACGUGCCAGCAGCCGCGGUAAUACGUAGGGGGCGAGCGUUGUCCGGAAUUAUUGGGCGUAAAGGGUUCGCAGGUGGCCUUUUAAGUCAGAUGUGAAAGAUCACGGCUCAACCGUGGUAAGCAUUUGAAACUGGAAGGCUUGAGUUAAGGAGAGGAAAGUGGAAUUCCUAGUGUAGCGGUGAAAUGCGUAGAUAUUAGGAGGAAUACCAGUGGCGAAGGCGGCUCUCUGGUCUGUAACUGACGCUGAGGUGCGAAAGCGUGGGUAGCGAACA